rnacentral:rRNA from 1 species
AGCAGCAGCCGCGGGAAUACGUAGGUGGCAAGCGUUGUCCGGAAUUAUUGGGCGUAAAGCGAGCGCAGGCGGUUAGAUAAGUCUGAAGCUAAAGGCUGUGGCUUAACCAUAGUACGCUUUGGAAACUGUUUAACUUGAGUGCAAGAGGGGAGAGUGGAAUUCCAUGUGUAGCGGUGAAAUGCGUAGAUAUAUGGAGGAACACCGGUGGCGAAAGCGGCUCUCUGGCUUGUAACUGACGCUGAGGCUCGAAAGCGUGGGGAGCAAACAGGAUUAGAUACCCCCGUAGUCCCUGUCUCUUAUACC